rnacentral:rRNA from 1 species
UUAAGCGACUAAGCGUACACGGUGGAUGCCCUGGCAGUCAGAGGCGAUGAAGGACGUGCUAAUCUGCGAAAAGCGUCGGUAAGGUGAUAUGAACCGUUAUAACCGGCGAUGUCCGAAUGGGGAAACCCAGUGCAAUUCGUUGCACUAUCGUUAACUGAAUACAUAGGUUAACGAGGCGAACCGGGGGAACUGAAACAUCUAAGUACCCCGAGGAAAAGAAAUCAACCGAGAUUCCCCCAGUAGCGGCGAGCGAACGGGGAGCAGCCCAGAGUCUGAAUCAGCUUGUGUGUUAGUGGAACGGUCUGGAAAGUCCGACGGUACAGGGUGAUAGUCCCGUACACCAAAAUGCACAGGCUGUGAACUCGAAGAGUAGGGCGGGACACGUGGUAUCCUGUCUGAAUAUGGGGGGACCAUCCUCCAAGGCUAAAUACUCCUGACUGACCGAUAGUGAACCAGUACCGUGAGGGAAAGGCGAAAAGAACCCCGGCGAGGGGAGUGAAAAAGAACCUGAAACCGUGUACGUACAAGCAGUGGGAGCACCUUCGGGUGUGACUGCGUACCUUUUGUAUAAUGGGUCAGCGACUUAUAUUCUGUAGCAAGGUUAACCGUAUAGGGGAGCCGCAGGGAAACCGAGUCUUAACUGGGCGUUAAGUUGCAGGGUAUAGACCCGAAACCCGGUGAUCUAGCCAUGGGCAGGUUGAAGGUUGGGUAACACUAACUGGAGGACCGAACCGACUAAUGUUGAAAAAUUAGCGGAUGACUUGUGGCUGGGGGUGAAAGGCCAAUCAAACCGGGAGAUAGCUGGUUCUCCCCGAAAGCUAUUUAGGUAGCGCCUCGUGAAUUCAUCUUCGGGGGUAGAGCACUGUUUCGGCUAGGGGGUCAUCCCGACUUACCAACCCGAUGCAAACUACGAAUACCGAAGAAUGUUAUCACGGGAGACACACGGCGGGUGCUAACGUCCGUCGUGAAGAGGGAAACAACCCAGACCGCCAGCUAAGGUCCCAAAGUCAUGGUUAAGUGGGAAACGAUGUGGGAAGGCACAGACAGCCAGGAUGUUGGCUUAGAAGCAGCCAUCAUUUAAAGAAAGCGUAAUAGCUCACUGGUCGAGUCGGCCUGCGCGGAAGAUGUAACGGGGCUAAACCAUGCACCGAAGCUGCGGCAGCGACACUAUGUGUUGUUGGGUAGGGGAGCGUUCUGUAAGCCUGCGAAGGUGACCUGUGAGGGUUGCUGGAGGUAUCAGAAGUGCGAAUGCUGACAUAAGUAACGAUAAAGCGGGUGAAAAGCCCGCUCGCCGGAAGACCAAGGGUUCCUGUCCAACGUUAAUCGGGGCAGGGUGAGUCGACCCCUAAGGCGAGGCCGAAAGGCGUAGUCGAUGGGAAACAGGUUAAUAUUCCUGUACUUGGUGUUACUGCGAAGGGGGGACGGAGAAGGCUAUGUUAGCCGGGCGACGGUUGUCCCGGUUUAAGCAUGUAGGCUGGUUGUCCAGGCAAAUCCGGAUAAUCAAGGCUGAGGUGUGAUGACGAGGCACUACGGUGCUGAAGUAACAAAUGCCCUGCUUCCAGGAAAAGCCUCUAAGCAUCAGGUAACAUCAAAUCGUACCCCAAACCGACACAGGUGGUCAGGUAGAGAAUACCAAGGCGCUUGAGAGAACUCGGGUGAAGGAACUAGGCAAAAUGGUGCCGUAACUUCGGGAGAAGGCACGCUGGUGUGUAGGUGAAGCCCCCGCGGGUGGAGCUGAGACCAGUCGAAGAUACCAGCUGGCUGCAACUGUUUAUUAAAAACACAGCACUGUGCAAACACGAAAGUGGACGUAUACGGUGUGACGCCUGCCCGGUGCCGGAAGGUUAAUUGAUGGGGUUAUCCGUAAGGAGAAGCUCUUGAUCGAAGCCCCGGUAAACGGCGGCCGUAACUAUAACGGUCCUAAGGUAGCGAAAUUCCUUGUCGGGUAAGUUCCGACCUGCACGAAUGGCGUAAUGAUGGCCAGGCUGUCUCCACCCGAGACUCAGUGAAAUUGAACUCGCUGUGAAGAUGCAGUGUACCCGCGGCAAGACGGAAAGACCCCGUGAACCUUUACUAUAGCUUGACACUGAACAUUGAGCCUUGAUGUGUAGGAUAGGUGGGAGGCUUUGAAGCGUGGACGCCAGUCUGCGUGGAGCCAACCUUGAAAUACCACCCUUUAAUGUUUGAUGUUCUAACGUUGGCCCCUGACCGGGGUUGCGGACAGUGUCUGGUGGGUAGUUUGACUGGGGCGGUCUCCUCCCAAAGCGUAACGGAGGAGCACGAAGGUUAGCUAAUCCUGGUCGGACAUCAGGAGGUUAGUGCAAUGGCAUAAGCUAGCUUGACUGCGAGCGUGACGGCGCGAGCAGGUGCGAAAGCAGGUCAUAGUGAUCCGGUGGUUCUGAAUGGAAGGGCCAUCGCUCAACGGAUAAAAGGUACUCCGGGGAUAACAGGCUGAUACCGCCCAAGAGUUCAUAUCGACGGCGGUGUUUGGCACCUCGAUGUCGGCUCAUCACAUCCUGGGGCUGAAGUAGGUCCCAAGGGUAUGGCUGUUCGCCAUUUAAAGUGGUACGCGAGCUGGGUUUAGAACGUCGUGAGACAGUUCGGUCCCUAUCUGCCGUGGGCGCUGGAGAAUUGAGGGGGGCUGCUCCUAGUACGAGAGGACCGGAGUGGACGCAUCACUGGUGUUCGGGUUGUCAUGCCAAUGGCACUGCCCGGUAGCUAAAUGCGGAAGAGAUAAGUGCUGAAAGCAUCUAAGCACGAAACUUGCCCCGAGAUGAGUUCUCCCUGAGACUAUAAGUCUCCUGAAGGAACGUUAAAGACGAUGACGUUGAUAGGCCGGGUGUGUAAGCGCAGCGAUGCGUUGAGCUAACCGGUACUAAUGAACCGUGAGGCUUAACCUU